rnacentral:rRNA from 1 species
GACGAACGCUGGCGGCGUGCUUAACACAUGCAAGUCGAACGAACUCGACCUUCGGGUCAUAUGAGUGAGUGGCGAACGGGUGAGUAACACGUGAGAAACCUACCCCGAAGUUUGGAAUAAGCCAAGGAAACUUGGUCUAAUACCAAAUACCUUCUUAAGGCCGAGUGGUCAUUUGAAGAAAGAUUUAUCGCUUUGGGAGGGUCUCGCGGCCUAUCAGCUAGUUGGUGAGGUAACGGCUCACCAAGGCAAUUACGGGUAGCUAGUCUGAGAGGACGAAUAGCCACACUGGAACUGAGACACGGUCCAGACUCCUACGGGAGGCAGCAGUGGGGAAUCUUGCACAAUGGGCGAAAGCCUGAUGCAGCGACGCCGCGUGGGGGAUGAAGGCUCUAGGGUCGUAAACCCCUUUCAGUAGGGACGAAAAUGACGGUACCUACAGAAGAAGCCCCGGCCAACUACG